AAAUUGAAGAGUUUGAUCAUGGCUCAGAUUGAACGCUGGCGGCAGGCCUAACACAUGCAAGUCGAGCGGUAGCACAGAGAGCUUGCUCUCGGGUGACGAGCGGCGGACGGGUGAGUAAUGUCUGGGAAACUGCCUGAUGGAGGGGGAUAACUACUGGAAACGGUAGCUAAUACCGCAUAAUGUCGCAAGACCAAAGUGGGGGACCUUCGGGCCUCAUGCCAUCAGAUGUGCCCAGAUGGGAUUAGCUUGUAGGUGGGGUAACGGCUCACCUAGGCGACGAUCCCUAGCUGGUCUGAGAGGAUGACCAGCCACACUGGAACUGAGACACGGUCCAGACUCCUACGGGAGGCAGCAGUGGGGAAUAUUGCACAAUGGGCGCAAGCCUGAUGCAGCCAUGCCGCGUGUGUGAAGAAGGCCUUCGGGUUGUAAAGCACUUUCAGCGGGGAGGAAGGCGGU
rnacentral:rRNA from 1 species